rnacentral:rRNA from 1 species
CACGUAGGGGGCGAGCGUUGUCCGGAUUUAUUGGGCGUAAAGAGCUCGUAGGCGGUUCAGUAAGUCGGGUGUGAAAACUUUGGGCUUAACCCAAAGCGUGCAUCCGAUACUGCUGUGACUUGAGUUCGGUAGGGGAGUGGGGAAUUCCUAGUGUAGCGGUGAAAUGCGCAGAUAUUAGGAGGAACACCGGUGGCGAAGGCGCCACUCUGGGCCGAAACUGACGCUGAGGAGCGAAAGCAUGGGUAGCAAACAGG